GAUGAACGCUGGCGGCGUGCUUAACACAUGCAAGUCGAACGGAAAGGCCCAAGCUUGCUUGGGUACUCGAGUGGCGAACGGGUGAGUAACACGUGGGUGAUCUGCCCUGCACUUCGGGAUAAGCUUGGGAAACUGGGUCUAAUACCGGAUAGGAGGAUGGUUUGGAUGCCAUUGUGGAAAGUUUUUUCGGUGUGGGAUGAGUUCGCGGCCUAUCAGAUUGUUGGUGGGGUAAUGGCCUACCAAGGCGUCGACGGGUAGCCGGCCUGAGAGGGUGUACGGCCACAUUGGGGCUGAGAGACGGGCCAGAGUCCUACGGGGGGCAGCAGUGGGGAAUAUUGCGCAAUGGGCGCAAGACUGAGGCAGAGACGCCGCGUGGGGGGUGACGGCCUUCGGGUUGUAAACUCCUUUCGCUAGGGACGAGGCGUUUUUGUGACGGUACCUGGAGAAGAAGCACCGGCUAACUACGUG
rnacentral:rRNA from 1 species